GUCUGUCCUGCUCAUGAUUAUUUAAAUAGCCGCAGUAUAUUGACUGUGCAAAGGUAGCAUAAUAAUUAGUCUUUUAAUUGAGGUCUUGAAUGAAUGGUUAGAUGAGGAAUAAACUUUAUUUAUUUAAUUUUUUUGAAUUUCUAUUUUUGGUUAAAAUACCAAAAUUUUUAAAAGGGACGAUAAGACCCUUUAGAUCUUAAAAAUUUAUUUAAUUUAUUUUUUUUUGUUGUGUUCUUUUUUUUUUAUUUAAUUUUUUUAGUUGGGGUGAUUAAUAAAAUUUUAAACUUUAUUUUUUUUUUACAUUUAUUUAUGGUUUUUUGAUCCUUAAUUUUUGAUUUUAAGAUAAAGAUACCUAAGGGAUAACAGCAUAAUUUGUUUGGAGAGUUCUUAUCGAUAAAUGAGUUUGUGACCUCGAUGUUGGAUUAAGAUUAGUCUG
rnacentral:rRNA from 1 species